rnacentral:tRNA from 1 species
UGGCUCAGUGGUGGAGCACUUGCCUAGCAUGCAUGAGGUCCUGGGUUCAAUCCCUAG